UACGUAGGUGGCAAGCGUUGUCCGGAUUUACUGGGUGUAAAGGGCGCGUAGGCGGGACUGCAAGUCAGAUGUGAAAUGUGGGGGCUUAACCCUCAAGCUGCAUUUGAAACUGUGGUUCUUGAGUAUCGGAGAGGCAGGCGGUAUUCCAAGUGUAGCGGUGAAAUGCGUAGAUAUUUGGAGGAACACCAGUGGCGAAGGCGGCCUGCUGGACGACAACUGACGCUGAGGCGCGAAAGCGUGGGGAGCAAACAGG
rnacentral:rRNA from 1 species